AGUGAACGCUGGCGGUAGGCCUAACACAUGCAAGUCGAACGGCAGCACAGUAAGAGCUUGCUCUUACGGGUGGCGAGUGGCGGACGGGUGAGGAAUACAUCGGAAUCUACUUUUUCGUGGGGGAUAACGUAGGGAAACUUACGCUAAUACCGCAUACGACCUACGGGUGAAAGCAGGGGAUCUUCGGACCUUGCGCGAUUGAAUGAGCCGAUGUCGGAUUAGCUAGUUGGCGGGGUAAAGGCCCACCAAGGCGACGAUCCGUAGCUGGUCUGAGAGGAUGAUCAGCCCCACUGGAACUGAGACACGGUCCAGACUCCUACGGGAGGCAGCAGUGGGGAAUAUUUGACAAUGGGCGCAAGCCUGAUCCAGCCAUACCGCGUGGGUGAAGAAGGCCUUCGGGUUGUAAAGCCCUUUUGUUGGGAAAGAAAAGCAGCAGGUUAAUACCCCGCUGUUCUGACGGUACCCAAAGAAUAAGCACCGGCUAACUUCGUG
rnacentral:rRNA from 1 species